rnacentral:lncRNA from 1 species
GUGGAAAUCUGUUGUGGUUCCGUGUGCUUUGCUGUGACCUGUUGCCGGGAGCUGUGAGGAGAGCUGUGCGAGCUCGCGACCGGCACCAUGGAUGCAGUGACUUUUAUGGAUGUGCAUGUGAACUUCUCUCAGGAAGAGUGGGCUUUGCUGGAUCCUUCUCAAAAGAGUCUCUACAAAGAUGUCAUGCUGGAAACCUACUGGAACCUUACUUUUAUAGGCUAUGAAUGGGAAGACCACAAUAGUGAAGAAUGUUGUCAAGGUUCUAGAAGUCAUGGAAGGUAUUUCAACUGUCCUCAAUAUAGUACAUGUAAAGCAAAGGGUUAUGGGAAGAAGCAGUAUACUUCUCUCUUUCCCAGAACAAUUAGAAGAUGUGAUAUCAUCCCCACUGUGAGAAGACAAGGUGAAUGGGACACAAGUUUACAAGUAAUUGGUUUUCCAGCUUCAGUGGGAAUACAUCAAAAUACUGACGUUGGAGAAAAGCCUUAUGCGUACAAGGAAUGUGGAAAAUCUUCUCUCUGUCCUGGUUUACUUUGCAUAUGUAGUAUAACUCAGACUGUAGGAAAAUGUUAUGAAUACAAUCAGUGUGGGAAAGCACUCAGUUCUUCUUUUUCUCUUCAAAGAUGUAAAACAGCUCACCUGGCAAAAGGAAGUAAUGGAUGUGAGCCAAGUAGUAAAAGCUUUAACCAUCAUAGGUAUCUUAAAAUACAGAGCA